AACGAACGCUGGCGGCAGGCUUAACACAUGCAAGUCGAACGCCCCGCAAGGGGAGUGGCAGACGGGUGAGUAACGCGUGGGGAUCUACCCAGUUCUACGGAAUAACCCAGGGAAACUUGGACUAAUACCGUAUACGCCCUACGGGGGAAAGAUUUAUCGGAAUUGGAUGAGCCCGCGUUGGAUUAGCUAGUUGGUGGGGUAAUGGCCUACCAAGGCGACGAUCCAUAGCUGGUCUGAGAGGAUGAUCAGCCACACUGGGACUGAGACACGGCCCAGACUCCUACGGGAGGCAGCAGUGGGGAAUAUUGGACAAUGGGCGCAAGCCUGAUCCAGCCAUGCCGCGUGAGUGAUGAAGGCCUUAGGGUUGUAAAGCUCUUUCAGUGGGGACGAUAAUGACGGUACCCACAGAAGAAGCCCCGGCUAACUUCGUGCCAGCCGCCGCCGUAAAAC
rnacentral:rRNA from 1 species